UCAUGUAAUAUAAUUUAUUUAACUUAAUACAUCCAAAAUAUUAUCAGUUCAGCAUGUAACCUUCACAUAACUUAUUAAUGGGAUCGGUUGCUUUCUUCUCUUCAGGCCAGGUCUUUGAGCUCGUGUGUGUCUGCCAUGCACUUCACACUCACAGCCCACCUCCUGUGGAUUGGCCACACGCCUGGGUCUCAGUAGCUCGUGUGCCGGCAGCUGGGAUGGGGGCAGGCUGGGCAGUGAAGAAGAACAACCUCCCCCUGUUCUAACUCAUUCAGCUCUGCUCGGGUCUUCGUAUUUCCCUGGCCCUGAAGCUCCCCCUCUCGGAGGUGCCCCUCUACCAGCCCCUUGAAGAAUCGUGUGUGAACCAUCACUCCUAGCCCUGUGCUACCAGCCCACCUCACUCACAGCUCAUGCAGAACUUUGUAACUAAAAUCCCAGGACCUGGAAAAUACAUGUCUGGGAGCUCCCAGACAUAACAAUCACUUCUGGACUCCCAGGAGAAGGCCAUAUCUUUCCCUUGGUCUUCCCUGCCCACUUCCAAUCGUUGUCUCACCCUGUUUCUCCACAAACUCUCUCCUCUUUUCCUCUCUGCUCUCCCUUUCCAGAUUGAGCAGGAUGGUGGUGGGGCUGCUGGGGGGGCAUUUCUGGGUCCUGUCCUGGGGAAACAGCUUGCAGAGGGGAGGCAGGGAAGGGCAAGGCAUGCUCUCACUUCACUGUCAGUCCUGCAGCUAAGAGUCUGAGGCUGGACCACCGCCUCUGCAUGGGACAACAAAACCGGGCUGGCGGCACUCCCGCGACAGUUCCCAGACACCCACAACCCAGGCAGGUGGCGCACCUGAGUAAAGGUGUCUGGGUAUCGGAUGGGACUGGUGGGCCUGGAAAACACAGGCCCCACCCAGGACAUUUAAAUUCAGCUUUUAACCCUGUGCAAGCCAAGCAAAACCAGUGGGAGCCAAAGAGUCAUCAGCUUGUGGUUCCCAAGAGAGGGACGGGUCCUGGGGACUCUGUUCACAGCUUGUAGGUAUCGAGGGACAGCUACCUUGCCUCCUGCCCCACCCUUUUAGGGAUCUGCUGUCUAUAAACUGCCGGAUGUCAGGUACCUGGUUCAUCAUCUUCAUUUUCAUGCACGUCAACAGCCACAUCACUGACCUUCCAACAAAUCUUCCAGCCUUACCGACCCUCAGUCCUCGCCUCUAAUGGCCCUAUAUUCCAUCCGGAAUCGGACCCUCAAGUGAAGUGAAAUGCAGCCUGUAACUCAGAGAGUGGCAGGUUGUCUCCUCUGAACCGGUGUCAGGUGCUACUUUCUCCGCAACCCUAGGCUGUAGGCACUCAGCAGCCCCAGAAUCUGCAGGCUUAGCCCUGCCAUCCAGAGAGCAGUCCCUGCUGCUGCUCAGGGGGGCCAUGCAGCCCAAGACGAGCCUAGAUUCCCUCACAGUCUCUGCACUGUCAGGGUCCCCUAAGCUCUGCCAGGUCUCCCUAGUCGGAAUGCAACAUGUCUGUCUCCAUGUUCCGAAUUGCAUCCAGUCCACCCGCAGGGCCUGUAGCCCUGCCCAGAGGUCCAGGUGGAAGGCAUGAUGCCCUGUGCAGUCCUGCCCAGACCCCUUCUCAGGAGGUGAGACUCUGCCCUACACAUCCAGCAAGGUGCUAAACAGAUCAGGUGGAACGAGAAUGUCACUGCCUCGUAGUCCACCUGCAGGUACUGGAAACUGCUACCAUUGCCCAGACUAGCAGAAUAGAUUUCACCUUCGAAAGCGACCCUGGCCUGGAUCCUGCUGCUUCUGCCACAUCUAUUUCCAGCUUCCUCUUCCUACUGGCCUCCUUCUGAAGUCCCAACAUGAUGUCCUGCCAAGUCACACAGGUGAAGAUAUAGGUUUGGAAAGGGGAUAUAACUUUCCAUGGUCAAAAGCAAAUAAACUGAACAUCUCAGCCAGCCCAUCUGCUUGGAGCCCUCUGCCUUAAAGCCACAUCACUCUCUGAGAUGAAACACCAGCCAGACAGGGUGAAGACAGGAGCGAGCUCCAGGUUUACAAGUGAUAGGAUCCCUGUGGAUUUCUAGUUCAGACUGAAAAUCCAUGAAAUUUAGAAUAAUAUGGGGAUAGUUUACAGACAUGUGAACUUUUACUGUGUAUGUUUUACUUACAAUGCAAUACCUAAUACUUCCACUGCGACAUCAGCAAACAUCCUUAGCCCUGUUUGCCACUGCACCACAGAGCUUUUCAUGCAAACUAACAUUACAGUAUGAUACAAAGAAAACUGUUUCUUCUUAAGAUAUUUACAAUGUGAUCAGGUUUAUUUAAAUAAAGUCCAUUUUAUACUA
rnacentral:lncRNA from 1 species